GAAUUACCUCAUUUGUCCUGACUUAACAUUAUAUCAAAUUAGACAGAAUUAAUUUAAAUCAGGGCAAUGUUUGUCAAGGGGCUCAGAAUAGCUGUCCUGGACUGCACAACAGGUACAUCCUUGGCCAUUUUAGCAUCUCCCUGCAGGUAGGCUUCUGCAAACCACAUUUCACACUUCUUUGGAUAUCCAUCAUCUUCCCGAGUCAGAAUGAUUUCUGGAUUAGCUGGGGAAGAGUGCUGUGUCUCUGUCAAGUAACUGUAGGGUUGCUGCACAGCCAAUUGUGUUCCUGUGCAAUUCAAACAAAAUUUUUAUGGGAAUGGAAAGAAGGAUAUUAUGGUGCUGGAUUACAGUGAGAGGAAAAAGCAAAAAAAAACUGGAAAAAAACUGAGCAGAGGAACACAAGCAAAUAGUGAGAAAAAUAUAUACAUGUGCCUGUAAAUUGCUAAAACUGGUUGCUGUUAUUUUUUGAUCAAUAUGUCAGAAUGCAUUUUGAAAAAUCAUGAUAUAUGCUAUUCUUGUGAAGACUGCAGUGUGGAAGAAAAACGAAAUAAUGGGAGAGGGGCAUAAACUCCAAGAACAAUUUUGUCUUUUAAAGCACAUACCAUAUCCUACAUGUCCAAGUCUGACAGUGUAGGCUUCUCAGAGAUGCCUUUUGGCCAUCAUAAGCCUUAGACAGGAAAACAGGCAGUGGAGUUUGACAGAAUGUGCAGAAAGGGGAAAUUCUGUUAUAGUUUAUUGAGUGAUUGAUGAUAAUUUAAAUCCAGUUCAGAAAAGCUGUUAUGUUCUUGAAUAAUUUCUUGGCUAGUCUGUUAAUAAAAAUGCAUUGUAUAAUGUUAUUGCUGAAUUUCAAAUAAAUUUAAUAACAAACCUGCUUACUGAGGAAGAAUAGAGGCUCCUCCAGAAGACGGAUAUAUGAUAGUAAUUUUUAUGGUAAUGGACUAAGCCUUGCUAAUAUUUGCAAAAGAGAAAGAAACACUGCAAAAUCUUUACUAAUUUCAGGAGUGAGUUAAGAAUUUAGGAGGCACUGUCCCAGGUUUGAAAAGAGAUGACCAACUUUUCCCCAAUGCCUCCCCCGCAUCUGUUUUUUCCGGGGUGGGGGGCGGGACGGCGCGAAGCCGCAGGCGCUGGGCAGCGCCGGAGCAGGGGUGGGGGGAGCGCUCUCCGGACACGCGGCUGCCGCGGGGGACAGCAGGGGGAGUUCUUUGUUCAGGGGCAUUUGGGGCUGGUCCGCGGGGAGCCCGAUUUCGGCCGCCUCCUUUUCUUUUCCUGAGAGGAAGUUUUUUCCCCCCCACAGGACACCUCGCGGAGGACGACUGAGAGAGAGAGACUGACCCAUCUCAGAGCGAGGUAUUCUGUUUUCGGGACUGCCUGUGGGAGAAAGGACUCCUUCAUGGCUGGCUGUGACACCAUCGGCUGCUGGCUGCUGCGGGCGCACGGGGCUGCGAGCAGCUGUUGAACUGCCGGGACAGUCCUGCCUUCCCCCCUCCCCCACGCUCCGGAUUGCUGCGGUUUUCUUCCCCCCCACCUGGGGAAUUGGGACUUUGUUUUGUUUCCUCUGAAAGUUUUUGAUUGCACUAUUUCUUGUUUGUUCAGAUUUUGUUAAUAAAAAGCUGGUUUUUUCUUUUUUCACACUUCCACCUGAAGUUUUCUUAAUUUCUAAGUUUCCCUGUUGAUGCCUUCGUGGCAAAAGGCAUUUGAGGUUAAGGACUGAUGAAAAUAUAUAUCUGUGUGUAUAUUCUAUGUGCAUCUGUGUUUAUGUGCUCCCAUGCACAUAUAUAUGUAUAUAGACACAUAUAUGUUUAAAAGGACAACCCUAAAAGGCUGGAGUCAUGUGUUGGUGAACUCUCUGGCUAGGGUAUAGUCUGUAAUAGGAGGAACUACAAGGGAAUAACCUGCAUACUCAGGUCAAAGAGGAAGUCUGUGGCAGACCUGAAAAAAGACUGAAGAGGUGCUUUUAGCAACAAAUCAAUCCUGUUCUGCUGUUCUUUGUGCAGCAAUGAAGCUGGGGAAAGAUAAUGCUUUGAACCCUUUUUUUACACGAUCUAAGAAAAAAAUAUGGAAGCUCCCAGGCAUUUUCAACACUGUGAAACACCAUCUUGAGAGAGGUCAGCACAGGAGGUGUGCCUGGAGGACAGUCCCUUACAGCUGCCCCUGGAGAAGCCUCGAUGGGUAGCAAAGCAGAUGGCUCAGCUCUGUCAAAGAAAGUCUCCUAAAAACACCAGAUUAUUGAGGCAAUGAGGUUCUGGCUUGCUAACUACAUCUGAGAUGCUGAUGGGCAUGGCUCUCUUUCAGCCCUGCCCUUUCUGCAAGACAAAAUAGAAUUUUAAUCCUCCCAAGAAAAUUUUAUAGUGGAAGUAUGUGAAAAUGAGGACAGCAACACAGAUGGAUGUUUGCUAAUAGCUGUUUGGAUUUGGCAAUGUAGGAGGGCUUUUCUAGCUUUACAGUCCCUUAGUAUUUGUAAAAUUACUUUAUAUAAAAAGAAAAAAAACAACGCCCUGUGGGUGGUAUGCAGGGGUUGUGCUAAAAAUGAAUAAUUUAAAAUAAUGAAUGAUUAACCCCUAAUUUGCCAGUAGGUAAUUUAAAUUUCAGGUGUGCACUAAAAAAAUGUGAAAAUAUUACAAUUUGGGAUUGCAAUUUGUGUUCUUCAAGUGAGUCCAAAUCUGAACUGGCACUAUGUGCCACUAAGAACAGCAAAUCUCAAAACAGUAUGAAUAUGUGCAUUGGACUUAAUGGACUUUCUUUUCAAAGAAGACAAAGUGACUUUAAAAUGGGAACUGCAAGUGCACUCUACCUCCUGGGAAAACAGCUCUUACUUUCCCUUUAUAUAAAGGUCAUUGUAAAUUGGGAAGUUUAAUUCUUGUCCUGCAUGUUUUGUGCCACCAGUCAUGGUCCCUGGCUGAUAAAUAAGAAAAGUGAACUAGUUCUUGAAGAGAGGGAGUGAACAGUAUAAAAUUGGCCAGGUGUUUCUCAGGAGGAGAAACACCUGGCUGCAGUGGGCUUUUUAUCUAUUUUGAAGUAGAUAUAUUUCUAAGCUACUCGUUACUUUAGUACAAAGAAUGACAAAUCGUAUAUUCAGUGAGGGAUCAAAGGGAUGACACAGGAAAAGAGAGCCUAGAUGCAGGAUUGCCAUUUCUGGGUUAAUGGAUUACCUGAAAACACAGGCUGCUAAGUUUGGAUGUAGCACCUCAAGAAAUAAAAUUGUUGUUGCCCAAA